AACGAACGCUGGCGGCGCGCUUAACACAUGCAAGUCGAACGAGAAGGCGUAGCAAUACGUUUGUAAAGCGGCGAACGGGUGAGGAAUACAUGGGUAACCUACCCUCGAGUGGGGAAUAACUAGCCGAAAGGUUAGCUAAUACCGCGUACGCUUCUUGGACUUCGGUUCAGGGAGGAAAGCGAUGCCGAGGGUAUCGCGCUCUUGGAUGGGCUCAUGUCCUAUCAGCUUGUUGGUGAGGAACGGCUCACCAAGGCUUCGACGGGUAGCUGGUCUGAGAGGACGAUCAGCCACACUGGCACUGCGACACGGGCCAGACUCCUACGGGAGGCAGCAGUAAGGAAUAUUGCGCAAUGGGCGAAAGCCUGACGCAGCGACGCCGCGUGGGGGA
rnacentral:rRNA from 1 species